GACUGAGGUCAUGAAAGAGGACCUUGAGAGCUGAUUUCAUAUCUAGGGCUCUGGUUAGACACAGCCUCAGGGAACUGUGGCUGGUUUAUAGUCUCUUCUUACUUAAAAAAUAAAAAUCCCUUCCUUGACCUCACUUCAGUGUCCAGUUGCCAUGUCAUUUUCCACAAGUGUUUUGACCCAAUGUCUAUGAAGAAAUUGACGUUUCCACCCUCUUCUCCUCUCUGCCCAUGACUUAUCAGAACACACUGCUUUCUCUAAAGCCUGGUGUUUUUCUUCUGUCCUUGAUCCAGUGAGCUGUUUUCAUAGCCCUCCUUGAUGCUUACUUAAUCGGUUUAACAUUGGUAAAAUGACAAACAAAACCAAACCCAAAGUGUUCCCUCUUUCGAGAUGGUCUCCCCAUUCUGACAUCCGUAACCCCGAGUCCCUGUGCACUUCGUGAACCUACCUGGUGAUUUUUCAAGGUCGUUCUCGCGCUUAGCAUCCUUCUGCUUUCCAGUUCACGGGAGAUCAAAAUCUUCAACAACCUGAGCAGAAAGGAAGGAGGAGUAACAAUAGCUUUAAGACAGGAGGGCCGCUCCCAAGAAUUCUUCCUCUUCUUCCCCAACCCCUUCAAUAAGGCACUUGCUGGCUUGGUGGUCUUUCUUCCUGAAUUUUGCAGCCUGUUUGACCGUGUGGAUGAGAGUGCAGGCUCCGGAACCCGUCUGGGCCAAGAGACUUCCAUGGACUUUUUCACAUGCUCAAGUCUUGCCUGCUAGAGGGGAAACCUGCUUUUGAAGGCAACUGUCACCGCAAGUCUACCGGGAGGACAGUGGUCAUGUAUGGAUGCAAGAGUUGGACUGUGAAGAAAGCUGAGCACUGAAGAAUUGAUG